rnacentral:rRNA from 1 species
UCGAAGGUGAUAACCAUCUUUCGGCGCCGCACUGUACUAAACUAACUAAAGUGGGGGAUAGUGAGGGGAUAAAUUUCCUUAAGGAACUCGGCAAAAUCCCAAUGGCCCACCAGGGCAUAUAUUGGAACACGGGCCUCGACUGUUUACCAAAAACAUAGCCCUCGGCCAAUAUGAAAAUAGAAGUAUGGAGGGUGAGGCCUGCCCAAUGGUUGUAUCUAAAAGCGGUUGAUAAAAGUCGACCGUGUAAGGACAAUUGAAUGGCCGCGGUAACACUGACCGUGAUAAUGUAGCGUAAUCAAUAGCCAAUUAAUUGUUGGCCAGUAUGAAUGGCGCCACGAAGGCCCCACUGUCUUAAGGAAAUUCCCAGUGAAAUUGAAUUCGUAGUGAAGAUGCUACGUCCAAUUUGUUAGACGAAAAGACCCCGUUGAGCUUUACUGGGGCACUUACACGGCCCCGGCCUUCAAAACUGGGUUGAUAAGCCAAGGCUUACCAUACCUAGGGACCGGCCGAAUUUAAAUGGGCGGCUUAGACUAUGUGGCAGCCCCCCCCGUCGGGGCAGAUGAAACCCCACUCCCCCAUGUCAAAGGGGCUAACCCCCCCCCUUGGGGGGGACAGUGUWAGUAGGACAGUUUGGUUGGGGCGACCGCCUUUUAGAGAGUAACGAAGGUGCGCUUAAGGUGCGUAAUUAAUGACUGAAGCCUGACUGCGAGGGGGACACCCCGAGCAGACACCCCCAAGCCCGCCCUCGCCUUCGUACCAACGGAGGGAGGGCGGCGGUGGGGUGGGCCAUAGUGACCCGUUAAUUUAGAGUGGAAUAGUUAACGAUCAACGAAUAAAAGUUACCACGGGG